AAAAGUCUAAAUUGCUAAAGAAAGAAGAAAAGAAUCCAUGGCGGAAAGCACAGGCUCUAAGAAGAGAUGGCUUCCUCUUGAAGCUAACCCGGAUGUCAUGAAUCAGUUUCUUUGGGGUCUUGGUGUUCCACCGAAUGAGGCAGAGUGCUGUGAUGUUUAUGGGUUAGAUGAAGAACUUCUGGAGAUGGUGCCAAAGCCAGUGCUUGCUGUUUUAUUUCUUUAUCCUCUCACAUCGCAGAGUGAAGAAGAGAGAAUGAAGCAAGAUAAUGAAACAAAGGUGCAGGAUCCCAGUAGUACAGUUUACUACAUGAAACAAACAGUGGGAAAUGCAUGUGGAACAAUUGGUCUUCUUCACGCUAUUGGGAAUAUCACCUCUCAGAUAAAACUUACCGAGGGUUCAUUCUUGGACAAGUUCUUUAAAUCAACUUCAAGCAUGGACCCAAUGCAGCGUGCUUUGUUCCUUGAAAACGAUAGGGAAAUGGAAGUUGCUCAUUCAGUGGCAGCCACUGCUGGUGAUACUGAGGCUACCGACGAUGUGAACACUCAUUUCAUCUGCUUCUCCUGUGUUGAUGGACAACUCUAUGAACUUGAUGGGAGGAGGGCAGGACCUAUUACACAUGGUGCAUCCUCUCCAAACAGCUUAUUAAAGGAUGCAGCCACAGUUAUCAAAAAGAUAAUCGAGCAAAAUCCAGACUCAAUCAACUUUAACGUCAUUGCUAUUUCGAAAAACGUUUAGACCAAUGCUGCUGUCUAAGAGGCUUUUAUGGAUGAGAUGUUUAAACCAAUUUUAGCUUUUCAUGUUUCUGCCUUUUCCAGUACAAUGUUUCGUCUUGUUUGUAAGGCACAUAUAUCUGUGCAGUAAGUUACUUUCGAGAAAUUACUACUACUACAA
rnacentral:misc_RNA from 1 species